rnacentral:rRNA from 1 species
GACGAACGCUGGCGGCGUGCUUAACACAUGCAAGUCGAACGGAAAGGCCCUGCUUUUGUGGGGUGCUCGAGUGGCGAACGGGUGAGUAACACGUGAGUAACCUGCCCUUGACUUUGGGAUAACUUCAGGAAACUGGGGCUAAUACCGGAUAGGAGCUCCUGCUGCAUGGUGGGGGUUGGAAAGUUUCGGCGGUUGGGGAUGGACUCGCGGCUUAUCAGCUUGUUGGUGGGGUAGUGGCUUACCAAGGCUUUGACGGGUAGCCGGCCUGAGAGGGUGACCGGCCACAUUGGGACUGAGAUACGGCCCAGACUCCUACGGGAGGCUGCAGUGGGGAAUAUUGCACAAUGGGCGGAAGCCUGAUGCAGCAACGCCGCGUGCGGGAUGACGGCCUUCGGGUUGUAAACCGCUUUCGCCUGUGACGAAGCGUGAGUGACGGUAAUGGGUAAAGAAGCGCCGGCUAACUACGUG